GAUGAACGCUGGCGGCGUGCCUAAUACAUGCAAGUCGAGCGAACAGACGAGAAGCUUGCUCCUCUGAUGUUAGCGGCGGACGGGUGAGUAACACGUGGAUAACCUACCUAUAAGACUGGGAUAACUUCGGGAAACCGUAGCUAAUACCGGAUAAUAUUUUGAACCGCAUGGUUCAAUAGUGAAAGACGGUCUUGCUGUCACUUAUAGAUGGAUCCGCGCUGCAUUAGCUAGUUGGUAAGGUAACGGCUUACCAAGGCAACGAUGCAUAGCCGACCUGAGAGGGUGAUCGGCCACACUGGAACUGAGACACGGUCCAGACUCCUACGGGAGGCAGCAGUAGGGAAUCUUCCGCAAUGGGCGAAAGCCUGACGGAGCAACGCCGCGUGAGUGAUGAAGGUCUUCGGAUCGUAAAACUCUGUUAUUAGGGAAGAACAUAUGUGUAAGUAACUGUGCACGUCUUGACGGUACCUAAUCAGAAAGCCACGGCUAACUACGUG
rnacentral:rRNA from 1 species